GUCACACAGAGUUGAACACGACUGAUGUGACUUAGCAGCAGCAGCAGUGACUAUGUAACAUCCACCUGAAGACUAGCAGGGGGUACUCUUUCUGCCACCUUCUGAUGCCUAUGUCAGAAGCUUUCUCUAUCUCCUUUAUACUUUAAUAAAACUUUAUUAC